rnacentral:rRNA from 1 species
CAGCCGCGCGGUAAUACAGAGGGUGCGAGCGUUAAUCGGAUUUACUGGGCGUAAAGCGUGCGUAGGCGGCUUUUUAAGUCGGAUGUGAAAUCCCUGAGCUUAACUUAGGAAUUGCAUUCGAUACUGGGAAGCUAGAGUAUGGGAGAGGAUGGUAGAAUUCCAGGUGUAGCGGUGAAAUGCGUAGAGAUCUGGAGGAAUACCGAUGGCGAAGGCAGCCAUCUGGCCUAAUACUGACGCUGAGGUACGAAAGCAUGGGGAGCAAACAGGAUUAGAUACCCCCGUAGUCCCUGUCUCUUAUACC